rnacentral:tRNA from 1 species
GCCCGUCUAGCUCAGUUGGUAGAGCACAAAGCUCUUAACCUUGUGGUCCGUGGCGGUGGGCG